AGACGGAGGGGGCUAGCGUUGUUCGGAAUUACUGGGCGUAAAGCGCGCGUAGGCGGUCCGUUUAGUUAGGCGUGAAAGGCCUGGGCUCAACCCGGGAACUGCGCUUAAAACUGGCGGGCUAGAGUCCGGGAGAGGGUGGCGGAAUUCCCAGUGUAGAGGUGAAAUUCGUAGAUAUUGGGAAGAACACCAGUGGCGAAGGCGGCCACCUGGCCCGGUACUGACGCUGAGGUGCGAAAGCGUGGGGAGCAAACAGGAUUAGAAACCCGAGUAGUCC
rnacentral:rRNA from 1 species